UUUUUUGUGGAGCAAUGGUAGCGCGUCUGACUCCAGAUCAGAAGGUUGCGUGUCGAUAGUAUUUUACGGUAAAUUCUAAAUAAA